rnacentral:rRNA from 1 species
CCCAUCCCGAACUCAGAAGUAAAAUGCUGUCACGCCGAUGGUAGUGUGGUGAUUCGCCAUGUGAGAGUAGGUCGUCAUCAGGG